AGUGGGAUAACUGGGUCAAAUGGUGGUUCUAUUUCAAGUUUUCUAAGGAAUCUCCAUACUGAUUUCCAUAGUGGUUGCACCAGUUUGCAGUCCCAUUAGCAAU
rnacentral:pre_miRNA from 1 species